UACGUAGGGGGCAAGCGUUGUCCGGAUUUAUUGGGCGUAAAGAGCGUGUAGGCGGCCAUACAGGUCCGUUGUGAAAACUCGAGGCUCAACCUCGAGACGUCGAUGGAAACCGUAUGGCUAGAGUCCGGAAGAGGAAAGUGGAAUUCCCGGUGUAGUGGUGAUAUGCGUAGAUAUCGGGAGGAACACCUGUGGCGAAGGCGGCUUUCUGGGCCUUACCUGACGCUGAGACGCGAAAGCGUGGGGAGCGAACAGG
rnacentral:rRNA from 1 species